rnacentral:rRNA from 1 species
AACGAACGCUGGCGGCAUGCCUAACACAUGCAAGUCGAACGAAGCCUUCGGGCUUAGUGGCGCACGGGUGCGUAACGCGUGGGAAUCUGCCCUUGGGUUCGGAAUAACAGUUAGAAAUGACUGCUAAUACCGAAUGAUGUCUUCGGACCAAAGAUUUAUCGCCCAAGGAUGAGCCCGCGUCGGAUUAGCUAGUUGGUGAGGUAAAGGCUCACCAAGGCGACGAUCCGUAGCUGGUCUGAGAGGAUGAUCAGCCACACUGGGACUGAGACACGGCCCAGACUCCUACGGGAGGCAGCAGUAAGGAAUAUUGCGCAAUGGACGAAAGUCUGACGCAGCGACGCCGCGUGGGGGGAUGAAGGUCUUCGGAUUGUAAACCCCUUUCGGGAGGGAAGAUGGAGUGGGUAACCACUUGGACGGUACCUCCAGAAGCAGCCACGGCUAACUUCGUGCCAGCAGCCGCGGUAAU